rnacentral:rRNA from 1 species
UACGAAGGUGGCAAGCGUUACUCGGAAUUACUAGGCGUAAAGGGCAGGUAGGUGGUUUGAUAAGUCUGUUGUGAAAGCUCCCGGCUUAACUGGGAGAGGUCAACGGAUACUGUGGGACUUGAGUAUAGGAGAGGGUACUGGAAUUCCCGGUGUAGCGGUGAAAUGCGCAGAGAUCGGGAGGAACACCAAUGGCGAAAGCAGGUACCUGGACUAUUACUGACACUCAGCUGCGAAAGCUAGGGGAGCAAACAGG